ACGGCUAAGGGAUCCCUUCCGGAUGAUGAAGAAUGUGCUUUAUGCUGGACCAAUUACACAUCACGAUCAGCAUCGAUUAAGCGGCUCCAGGAGCUGGUACCAGCUGGUACCGGCCGGUGCUUAGGGCCCGAUCCGCCGCCGGGAGGACGACUUCCUGAGGCAAACACGACGGACAUCCCGAACGGUGCUUACAUCCGUGUUAUGGAAAUUGCUCUUACGUGUGUGGACCGGACGGAUGGACAUGAGGCAACGUUUUGCAUCACUUGUUUCUUGGCCGCAAGCAGCAACGUAGUGAAGGACAUGGACGCGCAUGCACAGGCCAUGGAAUGGUAUGUCUAAAUCAUGGAUGGCGACGUUCAACUCUCAGAAUGGUGAUUUCUGCCUUUGGGUUCAAUUCUGAACCUGGAAUGCUGCUGGCUCUGCCCGUACCGGAAAAGUGCUUUCCGGUACGGCGGUGUCAGGAGGUGGUAUGUACGUCGUCUUAGGGGCAACCCUAAGACCAAGGGGAUGAACGAAUAGAGAUAUACUUUCUGUUUCUUGGCUGCAGCAAGUGUUGUCCUGGGCGCAACGUUGAUGGCCUGAUGCCGACGCGACCUCCUUUACGACAAUGCUAGGCAAACGCAGCGGAUGUUCAUGAAUUACUUAAGCGUUCAUAUUACUCGUCACAGCUUCAACGGCACUGUACUGGGCGGAUGUAAGACGUGCGUUGGUGGACGCGAUGGCCUUACGAAGGGGGAGAAAGACGCUUAGGAGAUGCUUGGAUUGUUAUGUACAAGUCACGGACGGGGACGUUUAACUCUAUGAAUGCUGAGUUUUAGCUACUAGUCGGGUUUUUUGAACUUCGCUGUUGUUGGUUCCGCCCGUACAGGAAAAGUGUCUUCUGAUACGGCGGUCACAGCAGGUAGUAUCCACGUCGACUUGUAUGCAAACCNAAAUACAACGAAACCAGGGGAUGAUAUGACAGUUUUGGAAUGCUUGUUUCUUGGCCGCAAGCAGCAGCAUACUUAAAUCGCGUUGGGCCAUUUGCCCAGGCUGCCGCGAGGACGACAAGCCAGGCUAAUGCAGCUGGUGUCCAUGAUUGGAUCAUUACGUGCUGAAUAUGAAAGAUUGCUACGAAGACUCUGACCCUGACGAACGUAAAAUGUGAUGUUCGUAAGGAAGAAAACAGACGCAUAUCCAAGGCAUGGAGCUGUUUGUAGGGAAACCGUAAAUGAAGGUUUAAGGAACUGAACGAUGAAUUCUGCCGGUGUGGUCGGUUCUGGAUCUCUUAUGUUGCUCGUCACGCUCCUAAGGAAAAUGUACAUUUGUUGCAGGAGGGAGUCUGUGUGUCAAGUCGUAGUCAAACCUUUUUCAAAGGGGAUGAGCACACACACAGCUUGCAUUCCAUGUUCACUAACGUCAGCCCACAGUAAGCUACUGGGCUAGACUUGGAGGGUCCGACCGGGGCAACUCGUUGCUGUGGACUUGUAGGCAAGUCAAGUAGGGCUAUGGAAUGCUAGGACAAUGUUAUUAUGUUUGUGUUAUAGGCUUGGGUAGGAAUUCUUAAGCAAUACGUUGAGUGGCUUUUCCGCCGGCGGGAGGACGACAAUCCCAUGCAAACAGGACGGAUGUUCCGAAUGUUGCUUACAUUCAUGUUGUCGAAGCUCGCGACGACGGCUCUGGACAGGACGGAUGUCAAGUGUGCGUUGGUGGACGUGAUGGCAACGUAGUGAAGGACACGGACGCGCAUGCACAGGCCAUGGAAUGGUAUGUCUAAAUCAUGGAUGGCGACGUUCAACUCUCAGAAUGGUGAUUUCUGCCUUUGGGUUCAAUUCUGAACCUGGAAUGCUGCUGGCUCUGCCCGUACCGGAAAAGUGCUUUCCGGUACGGCGGUGUCAGGAGGUGGUAUCUACGUCGUCUUAGGGGCAACCCUAAGACCAAGGGGAUGAACGAAUAGAGA
rnacentral:lncRNA from 1 species